rnacentral:rRNA from 1 species
UCCACGCCGUAAACGAUGAUCACUAGUUGUGUGCGAUAUACAGUACGUGACUGAGCGAAAGCAUUAAGUGAUCCACCUGGGGAGUACGUUCGCAAGAAUGAAACUCAAAGGAAUUGACGGGGGCCCGCACAAGCGGAGGAACAUGUGGUUUAAUUCGAUGAUACGCGAGGAACCUUACCCGGGCUUAAAUUGGUAGUGCCAGUAUAAGAGAUUAUAUUUUCCUUCGGGACACUACUGAAGGUGCUGCAUGGCUGUCGUCAGCUCGUGCCGUGAGGUGUCGGGUUAAGUCCCAUAACGAGCGCAACCCCUAUCAUUAGUUACCAGCGCGUCAAGGCGGGGACUCUAAUGAGACUGCCACCGUAAGGUGAGAGGA